GGAAAAUGAUGUUGUGUCUUCGUUUUCAAUGAAACAAAACAGUGAAGUAUUUAGGGGCAAGCCACUGAGUGUGCAUCCACCUCAUUUGUAUUCUCAUCACCACGGUGAUAGAUGUGACAUGGUGAUAAAUGAAAGUGCCGGGGUUUUAUAAAGCGCUUCCUGUGGAAACCAAGGACAGAUGGGUGUAUUUUUUAUGAGGGCGUAGCAGAGGAAAAAUGUUACUAAAUGAGCAGGACCCGUCACUGCCGGAUAUGAAGGCAACAUGGUGUCUAAAAUCAAGAUGUCAAUUCACAAAUACCAAGUUUUUUUUGGGGGGGGGACUGCUUAAUGUUGAUAUUUAUUUUAUUUCAGAGGGAUCUUGAAAGACAUCAGCAGGGAAGAACCAUCAUGUACAAUGCACAUAACGAGUAGUUCGUUCUGGAGCUGUUGCAUGGGCUGACGGUGAAACGACUCCCGGGCUGUGUGAUGCAGAUCAAGGACCGAGGCUGAGAAUGCAGCAAUAUUGUAAUAUUGACAUAAAAUCCUCCCAAGCUGUGUCAGGUUGGAAGCGGAGCGUCGCUGCAGAGGCUAUUUUCAGGUCUCUCCAGCGAUGUUAGAUCGGGUUCAAGUCCGGGCUCUGGCUGGGCCACUCAAUGACAUUCAAAAACUUGUCCCGAAGCAA
rnacentral:lncRNA from 1 species